rnacentral:rRNA from 1 species
UACGUAGGUGGCAAGCGUUAUCCGGAAUUAUUGGGCGUAAAGCGCGCGUAGGCGGUUUCUUAAGUCUGAUGUGAAAGCCCACGGCUCAACCGUGGAGGGUCAUUGGAAACUGGGAAACUUGAGUACAGAAGAGGAAAGUGGAAUUCCAUGUGUAGCGGUGAAAUGCGCAGAGAUAUGGAGGAACACCAGUGGCGAAGGCGACUUUCUGGUCUGUAACUGACGCUGAUGUGCGAAAGCGUGGGGAUCAAACAGGAUUAGAUACCCCCGUA